UACGUAGGGUGCGAGCGUUAAUCGGAAUUACUGGGCGUAAAGCGUGCGCAGGCGGUUUUGUAAGCCAGAUGUGAAAUCCCCGGGCUCAACCUGGGAAUGGCAUUUGGGACUGCAAGGCUGGAGUGCGGCAGAGGGGGAUGGAAUUCCGCGUGUAGCAGUGAAAUGCGUAGAUAUGCGGAGGAACACCGAUGGCGAAGGCAAUCCCCUGGGCCUGUACUGACGCUCAUGCACGAAAGCGUGGGGAGCAAACAGG
rnacentral:rRNA from 1 species